rnacentral:rRNA from 1 species
UAUUGGACAAUGGGCGCAAGCCUGAUCCAGCAAUGCCGCGUGAGUGAUGAAGGCCNUANNGUUGUNANGCUCUUUCGCACGUGNNNNNGAUGACGGUAANGUGAGAAGAAGCCCCGGCUAACUUCGUGCCAGAAGCCGCGGUAAUACGAAGGGGGCUAGCGUUGUUCGGAAUUACGGGGCGUAAAGGGCGCGUAGGCGGUCCGCUCAGUAAGAAGUGAAAGCCCCGGGCUCAACCUGGGAAUUGCUUUUGAUACUGGUGGACUUGAGUUCCGGAGAGGAUGGUGGAAUUCCCAGUGUAGAGGUGAAAUUCGUAGAUAUUGGGAAGAACACCGGUGGCGAAGGCGGCCAUCUGGACGGACACUGACGCUGAGGCGCGAAAGCGUGGGGAGCAAACAGG